GGAAACGGAUGGAAAAGUGGUGGAAAUCUGGGUUAGAAAGAGGUGAAGGUGAAGAUCAUUAGAGGUUUUAGGGCUGGCUGUGGCUGUUUUGCUGGGUUUGUGUGACUGUGCCCAGAGGGCGGAGUUCCUGCACAUUCCUACCUCACCGGAGAACCUGCCCUCAACUCCACUGCAGCUACUCCAGAGAGAUGGGACCCUCCAGAAGAAACCUGCCCAGCAAUCCCAUCAAGCCUUCCCGCCAGAAGGAUGCCAGGAGAAACUGCCUGUACCUGCAAGAAAGGCGCACGAUGACACCUGGGGAUGGGAGUCCUCCGCCGGAGCAGGAUCACUGGAGGCAAACGUCGAAUUAAUUGCAUCUCAGGACUGAGGUUGGUAACUUUGCAUUGAACUAAGGUUAUCUCUGUCAUAGUGCCCAGGUGUUUACAAGACAUUUCAGGCGUUUCUAGAAAAGGUAGAUCCAGAAAACACAUAUGAUGGUAUUAAAAGGGGGUUACAGUAUCAUAUUGUCCAAAUCCAACUUUUCUUACUCCUGUGCAGGAAGGCAACUCUCUGUAGGUCUGUAUCAAUUUAUUUAAAGACUACAGAUUCAGGAGGAUCAUUCUGGAGUUUGUGUUUGUUUGGUUAGUUU